UCAUCCCUGAAAUUCCAGUGGUUACACUCUUGUAUGUUCUCUUUACCGCUGGAUUGUCAUGACGCAAAUCAAAUGCUCGGUAAUCUCCACCUUGCUGAUGAUACAAGAACACAAGUUUGAUCAUUUGAUAUACAUCAAAAGAAUCCCGCAGAAGCUUAACGGUAAAACUGAAGUCAGGUGUCACUCCUCGGUAAUCUUUAAAGACAGGUAUCGGCCUAGUGAUUGGUCAGUUUUGCUAUUUUACCAGAAAGCAAUCCAAUAACUAGCCGUGUGCCUUCUAUUUUUGCGUGACAUUUUCCGUGUGAGCAGAGAAUACGUGUGAGCUUGACCCCUAGAACUGCGAGGACGAUGGAGUAUGAGUGUGUAGCAGAACCGGAAUGGGUUGAUCAUCAUCAGCGACCAGAGAGCUCAAUUGUUAGAGCGUCUGUCUACAGUUUGGAGGAUCCAAGCUUACCUCCGAGGCUUGCAUCGACAGUGGCGUAAUCGUACUCGCACUGCUGGCAGUGCUACUGGUAUCCCCGCCACUAGAGGUU